GCACUCUGUGAAACAAGAUACAGGCUAGCGGCGGACGGGUGAGUAACACGUGGGUAAACCUGACCCAAGAGAUCGGGGAUAACACCUGGGAAACAGAUGCUAAUACCCGGAUAACAACAGAUGAUGCCUAUCAACUGUUUAAAGAUGGUUCUGCUAUCACUCUUGGAUGGACCUGCGGUGCAUUAGCUAGUUGGUAGGGGUAACGGGCCUACCCAAGGCGAUGAUGCAUAGCCCGGUUGAGAGACUGAUCGGGCCACAUUGGGGACUGAGACACGGGCCCAAAACUCCUACGGGGAGGCAGCAGUAGGGAAUCUUCCACAAUGGACGCAAGUCUGAUGGAGCAACGCCGCGUGAGUGAAGAAGGGUUUCGGCUCGUAAAGCUCUGUUGUUGGUGAAGAAGGACAGGGGUAGUAACUGACCUUCGUUUGACGGUAAUCAAUUAGAAGUCACGGCUAACUACGUGCCAGCAGCCGCGGUAAU
rnacentral:rRNA from 1 species